UUGGUCACUAAAGUGCUUUAUAUCUUCAAUCAUUAAAAUUAUUAAAUACUUAGCAAAUAUAAGGGUGCUAAAAUUAUCUUACUUUUCUUGAAAUGUUUCCUUUACUCUUGAAUCUUACAAAUAACAUGGAAUUCAAAUUUUGUUGUGGCAUAAUGCAUCUUCUCUGUCUGCGUUUUUGGGGUUCAGGUCUUAAAACAGCACGUACUGCUUCAUCAAACACUUGUUUUAGACCACGUUGUUUCCAACAAGUAUCAUUGGGGCAUCUGGGCAGUGAUGUUUUAUCUCUGGAUACCAUUUGCUGGUAACAUUUUCAAAAGAUGAAGGGCUUGUUACUGAGAAACAAAUUAGAAAAACAUCAGUCUGUGGAUAUGAAAGUGGACGGAGC